GAUGAAGAACGCAGCAAAAUGCGAUAAGUAAUGUGAAUUGCAGAAUUCAGUGAAUCAUCGAAUCUUUGAACGCACAUUGCGCCCGCUGGUAUUCCGGCGGGCAUGCCUGUUCGAGCGUCAUUUCAACCCUCAAGCCCCCGGGUUUGGUGUUGGGGAUCGGCUCUGCCCUUCUGGGCGGUGCCGCCCCCGAAAUACAUUGGCGGUCUCGCUGCAGCCUCCAUUGCGUAGUAGCUAACACCUCGCAACUGGAACGCGGCGCGGCCAUGCCGUAAAACCCCAACUUCUGAAUGUUGACCUCGGAUCAGGUAGGAAUACCCGCUGAACUUAAGCAUAUCAUAGCGGAGGA
rnacentral:misc_RNA from 1 species